UGUUUGGGUUCCCCUCCUCUGUGCCCGGUGAAGCUCAUGUACCAAACAAGCGGUGCAAGAGGAAUUUCUUUCUGCUCUUAUCAACUAUAUUGUCUCAGCAGUUCGCUUAAGCACUAAAACAUGAACAGAAUCAAUAAAACAUGUGGAGAGAUUCAGACUGAAGGAGGGUUCGAAUACAGACUUCUGUCUAAUAUACUGAAUCAAACCAGUAAUGACUGUGAGCAGAGCUGGUAUUCAGAGGACGGGCGUCUGUUAGCAGAUCCAUCGAAUCCAGACAAACUGAUGUAUCCUGUGAUGUCCAUCUCAUCUGAUCAUCUCGUCACUUCUCACUGUGUGGAUGAACUUCAUCAUGAGAUUCAGUGUCAUUCUAAAAGAAUCACACAUGAGACCGUGUUCAGAGUGACGGAAAAAUCUGAAGGCCGUCCGUCAUUUUGACAGAUUACACUGAGGCUGAUGUAGCUUGUAAUUCCCACCCCUGUCCAGUUGGUGGUGAGUGUGCUCCAGUGUGGCAGCAGAGCGCGAGUUCAGUCUCCAAAAUAAAAGGAAAACGAUGCGUUUGAUUACACACAGGCGAGCACCCAAUUUAAGUCCAUUUUAUAAUAAUAAAGUUAUAAUACCUAUACUUACAUAAUUAAGUUUCUAAUCCAGUUCGUUUUGUUUUAAAUGGUUUGUUUUAUUUUUCUUGCUGACUAUCAAGUUCACGGUCAACGAAUGGCUUUUCUGAGGUAAAAUGUUACGUGACAUUGUUUCCAACACUGAUUGAACUGAUUAAGACGUGAUGCAGAUUUCGUGUUUAACGACACAGACUCCAGCGGCGGAUCGACACAAACUCCAGAUUCACAUCAGUUCUGGUGGAUUUGUGCUCUUUUCUUCAUCACGGUUGUUCUUCUGCUCUUGAUCUGUUUCAUGCUGCGUAAAAGGAUCUUCAGUUGUGUUUCGAGAGCAGUGACACGAAUCUUUCAGCACAGUGAUUCAGAAAACAGGGAUCCUGAAUCUGGAGUCCAGAUGAAGCUCAGAUCUGAUGCUCCUGAUUCACUGAAUCAAUCUGAAUCUGAACAGUUAAACGGCUCCUUGUCCAGAGCAUGAUCAGUGUGAAUCAGCUCAGGGCUGAACGUCAUUGUGAUCUUUGACAUUAUGAAGGGAGAUUCAGUUCAUUUUGAGCUUCUCAACUGUGUUCAUUCCCUCAUCUGUUCUCUGUUUUAUUAAUGCAUGGUUUAGUUAUAGCGUCCUGAACGCUGAAGAUGUUUAUUUCUGCAUUUUCUUUUGUUGGUUAGUUUAGUUCUCUAACUUUAGUUGUUUUUUUUUGUUAUAUUUAGUUUUUUUUUAUCGCUCCUUCCUCUCCUCCAGAUCUUUUGUUGUUUAUUCUUGUUACGUUGUAUAUAUUGUAAAUAUCUACUUUAUUACUUUACCUUUAUAUUAAUUCACUUAUAUUUAAUGGAAUUAAAACUUUGCAACGAUAUUGCUGGUUGUCUGUCCCUUUUCCUUUUGCCAUCCCAUUACUGCCAUUACACACAUAAUAUUCCUAGACAAAAUAACAUCUAACUAAUGAGGGACGUAACAAGCCCAAAGAACCCUUUGUGCCAAAAGGGUUUUUUCUCCUUAUAUAGAACCUUUUUGGCAAAAAGCGUUCUUUAAAGUUGGUUAAAGAACCCUAGGGUUCUAUAUAGAACCCCAAAGAACCUUUUUUUCUAAAUAUAGUAAUUAUGUGUCUGAUUCUCAAUUUCCAACCUAUUUUGGGUUCAUUUUAAGCCAGACAUAUUGUCGAGAAGAGUCCGACAAUUGAGAUGAACUUUACUGAUAAAUUUCUGCCAAAAGAACCACAUAAAGCAAAAGAACUUAGGGUUGAUAUGGUUGAUUUGAUUACUCAAGGUUUGCAAAAAGAGCAAGACAAAAUCUCGAAGAAGCAA